AGUGAACGCUGGCGGUAGGCCUAACACAUGCCAGUCGAACGGCAGCACAGUAAGAGCUUGCUCUUACGGGUGGCGAGUGGCGGACGGGUGAGGAGUACAUCGGAAUCUACUUUUUCGUGGGGGAUAACGUAGGGAAACUUACGCUAAUACCGCAUACGACCUACGGGUGAAAGCAGGGGAUCUUCGGACCUUGCGCGAUUGAAUGAGCCGAUGUCGGAUUAGCUAGUUGGCGGGGUAAAGGCCCACCAAGGCGACGAUCCGUAGCUGGUCUGAGAGGAUGAUCAGCCACACUGGAACUGAGACACGGUCCAGACUCCUACGGGAGGCAGCAGUGGGGAAUAUUGGACAAUGGGCGCAAGCCUGAUCCAGCCAUACCGCGUGGGUGAAGAAGGCCUUCGGGUUGUAAAGCCCUUUUGUUGGGAAAGAAAAGCAGCAGGUUAAUACCCCGCUGUUCUGACGGUACCCAAAGAAUAAGCACCGGCUAACUUCGUG
rnacentral:rRNA from 1 species